rnacentral:rRNA from 1 species
GUCUAUAUGUCUAAAUAUAUAGUCUAACCUGCCCACUGGUUUAAUAACUAAAGGGCCGCAGUAUACUGACUGUGCAAAGGUAGCAUAAUCAUUAGUCUUUUAAUUGGAGGCUUGUAUGAACGGUUGGACGAGAGAUGUACUGUUUCUUUCAUAUAAUUUGAACUUAACUUUUAAGUGAAAAGGCUUAAAUGACUUGGAGGGACGAUAAGACCCUAUAAAUCUUAACAUUCUACUAUUAAAUAUAUUUUUAUUUAAGUUAAUAUAUUUUUAAUAAGACAGUGUUUUACUGGGGCGGUAUGAAUAAAACGAGUAACUGUUCAAUAAAAAAACAGUGAUAUCUGAAAAAUUGUAGAUCCUCUUUUUGAGAUCAAAAGUUUAAGUUACUUUAGGGAUAACAGCGUUAUUUCUUUUAAGAGUUCAUAUCUAAAAAGAAGUUUGCGACCUCGAUGUUGAAUUAAAAGUUCUUUGUGGUUGCAGCAGCUACAAAAGAAAGUCUGUUCGACUUUUAAACUUUUACAU